rnacentral:rRNA from 1 species
UACAGAGGUCCCAAGCGUUGUUCGGAUUCAUUGGGCGUAAAGGGUGCGUAGGCGGCGCGGUAAGUCGGGUGUGAAAUCUCGGAGCUUAACUCCGAAACUGCAUUCGAUACUGCCGUGCUUGAGGACUGGAGAGGAGACUGGAAUUCACGGUGUAGCAGUGAAAUGCGUAGAGAUCGUGAGGAAGACCAGUGGCGAAGGCGGGUCUCUGGACAGUUCCUGACACUGAGGCACGAAGGCCAGGGGAGCAAACGGGG